rnacentral:rRNA from 1 species
CCUACGGGAGGCAGCAGUGGGGGAUAUUGCACAAUGGGGGAAACCCUGAUGCAGCGACGCCGCGUGUGGGAAGACGGUCCUCUGGAUUGUAAACCACUGUCCCCAGGGACGAAGAUGACGGUACCUGGGGAGGAAGCUCCGGCUAACUACGUGCCAGCAGCCGCGGUAAUACGUAGGGAGCGAGCGUUGUCCGGAAUUACUGGGUGUAAAGGGAGCGUAGGCGGGGAUGCAAGUUGGGUGUCAAAACUACCGGCUCAACUGGUAGUCGCACUCAAAACUGCAGCUCUUGAGUGAAGUAGAGGCAGGCGGAAUUCCUAGUGUAGCGGUGAAAUGCGUAGAUAUUAGGAGGAACACCAGUGGCGAAGGCGGCCUGCUGGGCUUUUACUGACGCUGAGGCUCGAAAGUGUGGGGAGCAAACAGGAUUAGAUACCCCUGUAGU